UACGUAGGGUCCGAGCGUUGUCCGGAAUUAUUGGGCGUAAAGAGCUCGUAGGCGGUUUGUCGCGUCUGCUGUGAAAUCUAGAGGCUCAACCUCUAGCCUGCAGUGGGUACGGGCAGACUUGAGUGGUGUAGGGGGAGACUGGAAUUCCUGGUGUAGCGGUGGAAUGCGCAGAUAUCAGGAGGAACACCGAUGGCGAAGGCAGGUCUCUGGGCACUUACUGACGCUGAGGAGCGAAAGCGUGGGGAGCGAACAGG
rnacentral:rRNA from 1 species